rnacentral:lncRNA from 1 species
AUUGUGCUGUAUAGCAUAGAUGUUAGUAUGUCUUUUGCAAUGCCUGACUAAUGUACAUAGAUGAAAUAGCAUAAUAGUGCGUAAAUAUAGAUGCUUAGUACUCAUGAUGCCUGUAUAGUUGGAGCAUCAUUUUAGCGUUAGGGAUUGUUUUGAUGUACAUAGAUCCCAACUUUUGUAAAAAGACCUCGAAGAGGCAAAUUUUCACUAUAUGAUGAUAACCGGAGGGUCUUUAAUUUGUUCUUGAUAUCGAUGUUGCCUGUUUUGAUGUUAGUAUUGCUUAACUCGAUUGUUGAUGAUGCAUGACUUGAUGAGUGAUGAUAGAAUUAAGUGACCAAUAAAUGAGAACUAGGAGAUGACGAGAAAUUACAAUAAGGUAAGAGGCAAAAAGAGAGUUUAUGGUGGGAGAACUUAAGUGAGUGGGUAAAGUUUUAAUUGAUGAAUUACUAUAGAACUAUGGGUUAUACCUAGUAUUGCUUGGCGAUAGGGAGAGGAGAGUAAGAUGAGAUGAAAGCGCUACGUUUAUUGAGCUUUUGAGUUAUGUUUUGGAGAGACGAGAUCGCCGAUAUAUAUAUAUAUACAUAAGUUUGUAUCAGAAUGAGAUAUCUGCACCAGAGCGGAAGUCUUUCAAUGACGAUCUUUUUCGCUACUCUGGCUUGUGAUUCCUCUGCUCUGACAGAGAAAUCACCUUUUCCUCUGUUAACAUCACUGACAGAACUCGAAAGAAGAUUUCUAUAAUAAGGAAGGUGAUAAGGUAAGUUUCGUGAAAGAGUCUGUAAGGCACGUUGGUAAAAA